rnacentral:rRNA from 1 species
GAUGAACGCUGGCGGCGUGCCUAAUACAUGCAAGUCGAGCGAACGGACGAGAAGCUUGCUUCUCUGAUGUUAGCGGCGGACGGGCGAGUAACACGUGGAUAACCUACCUAUAAGACUGGGAUAACUUCGGGAAACCGGAGCUAAUACCGGAUAAUAUUUUGAACCGCAUGGUUCAAAAGUGAAAGACGGUCUUGCUGUCACUUAUAGAUGGAUCCGCGCUGCAUUAGCUAGUUGGUAAGGUAACGGCUUACCAAGGCAACGAUGCAUAGCCGACCUGAGAGGGUGAUCGGCCACACUGGAACUGAGACACGGUCCAGACUCCUACGGGAGGCGGCAGUAGGGAAUCUUCCGCAAUGGGCGAAAGCCUGACGGAGCAACGCCGCGUGAGUGAUGAAGGUCUUCGGAUCGUAAAACUCUGUUAUUAGGGAAGAACAUAUGUGUAAGUAACUGUGCACAUCUUGACGGUACCUAAUCAGAAAGCCACGGCUAACUACGUG